UUUUACACGCAUUAUACAGUCAUGUACUUUUCAGGAUGUCCAGGUAAUGUUAAACCGUUAUCAAUUACCUGUGGUGACGGUAUACUGAGAUGCCCUGGUAAUUACGAAUGUAUUACACAUCAAGGAAGCAAAAAAGGGAUUUGCUGUCCUAUUGGAAAACCUUAUGAACCAAAGAGUGGUUGAUGCCCUAGAGAAAAAUGAUUACCAUUAGUGACUUGUAAAUCCUGUUCAUUGACCUAUGCUGAAGACAACAACAAAUUACGUUUUAAAUUUCCAAGAUUUGGAAAUUAAUUAAAAUUUCAUGAAUGUU